CACUCCUACGGGAGGCAGCAGUGGGGAAUAUUGCACAAUGGGCGCAAGCCUGAUGCAGCCAUGCCGCGUGUAUGAAGAAGGCCUUCGGGUUGUAAAGUACUUUCAGCGGGGAGGAAGGCGAUAAGGUUAAUAACCUUGUCGAUUGACGUUACCCGCAGAAGAAGCACCGGCUAACUCCGUGCCAGCAGCCGCGGUAAUACGGAGGGUGCAAGCGUUAAUCGGAAUUACUGGGCGUAAAGCGCACGCAGGCGGUCUGUCAAGUCGGAUGUGAAAUCCCCGGGCUCAACCUGGGAACUGCAUUCGAAACUGGCAGGCUAGAGUCUUGUAGAGGGGGGUAGAAUUCCAGGUGUAGCGGUGAAAUGCGUAGAGAUCUGGAGGAAUACCGGUGGCGAAGGCGGCCCCCUGGACAAAGACUGACGCUCAGGUGCGAAAGCGUGGGGAGCAAACAGGAUUAGAUACCCGAGUAGUCC
rnacentral:rRNA from 1 species